CAGUUGGUUAGAGCGCGCGCUUGAUAAGCGUGAGGUCGGAAGUUCAAGUCUUCCCAGGCCCACCACUUUCAUCGAGUGAGCAUUCGUCUUCUGGUUACGGGGCCAUAGCUCAGCUGGGAGAGCGCGUGCUUUGCAAGCAUGAGGUCGUCGGUUCGAUCCCGUCUGGCUCCACCAGAUGGUUUGAUCAUCGACUGAUCGUGCACCUAAAUCGUCCGCGAAACAUCACUUCGCACUUGCUAGUCCGGAUGGACAGCAGGCUGCGUGAUUUCUGACAUCGUAAAGAGGAGAUCGAUCCGAGUUGGAUCGUGCAGAGGAUUUCUGCGCGAUACUUCAUUAUCUCCGGAUCAUUUCGGCGCUCACGCGUCCUUCAAGGUCAAACUUGAAAGACGGGCGAGUUGUAAAUGAUCCUUUUAGCGAAGCUUGACCGCCUCGCUAUCGGAACGAUCUUACGAAGCAAGCUGGUCUUUCUAAUCAUUGUCCGGCUGCAGAUAGCGUUCAUCGAGGGCGCGUGCCGCAAGGCAGUUCUGCAGACAACAUUCUGCCGAGUGUGUGGACAUUGAUAAUGAGAGCAAUCAAGUGCCUUAAGGGUGUUCGGUGGAUGCCUUGGCGCUGAGAGGCGAUGAAGGACGUGCUACGCUGCGAUAAGCCG
rnacentral:misc_RNA from 1 species